CUUAAAAUAUACAUUUAGCUUUCUUUCUGGCUUGAAUCCAACACUAGAACUAGGCAUCGGGAACUAGUGUGAGUUUUGUAGCAGAAUCUUGCAUGGGUCCUCAACGUGAAAUCAAGAAUUAGCCUCAAUGGUUGCUUCUAUUGAAGUUUUAGUGACCCAAGCUGGGUGUUGUGUCUUGACUACUUGUCUAAUAGCACUAGAAUCCCAUACGAAGCUUCCAAGUUUCAUCUUUAUUAAGAGGGCUUUUUUCCUCCUCUCCUUUUUUUUUUUUGCUGUGCAUAACAAUGGGUUGAAGAAAUGGCAUCUGUAUAGUUUCCAGUAGCUGUGAAAGUGUAUAUUACUUGCCUCCCCACUUAGAUAGAGUUUAAAAUGGUAAACACAGCUGUGAUUUUUAGUUCAGUAAGAAGGUGAAUAUGGUAUAGAUAUCAAAGCUUCAUAGCUUUAUUAAAAAGAUAAGCCACUAUUCGACUGUGGUCGUAUGUCGUUUCCAUCACACUAACUAGAUUAACGGAUGUUUUAAACUUCAGCCUUACACUUGAGAAGUCAAACUGUGGUUCAGUAUUUAACUGCCAAUGUUAUGUAUCUGAUGUUCUGUGUGCCGAGUAAAGGUACUGUGUAAGGAAGACAUUUGCAGUGCUUCUUGUCUUGUAAUGAUUCAAGUGUAUAGUAGUUAUUGAAAGAAUGUGUAUAUAUUACUCAUCUGCUAAAGAGAAUGGGUUAAUUGAUAUUUCACAGGAGCCAAAUACAUUUUUUCAAAACUUGAAAACCAAAGGUCAUCAUGAGUGCCCACAAGUUAGCAAAAGUUAAUUACAUUUGGAACUUCCGUCUGUAGCAGCGUGAAAAACCCUUUGGAAUAUAAAAGCAUUAUGUUAACUUAGGCCAAAAUCCACUUAGUGUCUUGUAUAUGCGCUGUAUAGGAACACUAGCAAGUUGAGGAAUUCCGAUAUGGCCUCCCCUGAGAUGGCCCAUGUGUUUCCCAAACCAAAUGGAAGAGAGAAUCUGGACACCUCCACCAGCUUUACUGCAGUUCUAAAAUCAAACCUAGACCUGAUGGUUCCAGCUUACAGGAUAUUGCCAGCUGAGUUCUUGACUCGUAAGUUAAAUGCUCUGGACUGGAAACUUUGUCCUUGUACUUGGCCUCCUUCCCUUUUCCCCAGGUUGCUAGUCUGGAAUUAUAAUUAGCUCCAGUAGUUACCUAGGACCCCAUUCAUUUUCCUCCUUUCUUCAUCUUGAGUCUUGCAAAAGGAGACUGUACUUCUGUUUCCAUAUCACAGCCAGACCGGCUAGUAGGCCCAAUGUGCUCUGCUCCGCAGGUUCUGCCAAUGUGUUAACAAACGACAGCGUGGGAACCAGAGUUUUACUUCUAUGCAAAAUAAUAGCAGUACAACCAGGAUUCUUACUUACCUUUUCCUUCUUGGACUUUUUAGCUUUCCAGUAACAUAAGUAGAAUAAAUAAUAUUCGGAUGUUUUCAUGACAGCAUCCUUGUGCUCCUUGACCCUGAUGUCAGCAGCUAGACUAAUUUCCCUUUGCUCUCAAAAUAGCAAAGUGCGUUGAUAUAUACAGAGAAUUGCCUGAAUAUGGCAAAUAAAGUAAUAUAGAUUAAUAUUCUAUUAUUAUAGUCUUUAUACAAAAAAAUAACACUUUGGUGUGUGCUCGAAGAGCAGUAGAAUGCAAUAAGUCGCCUAGGUUUUUCUUUAUUUCAGUGCAUCUGCCAACUGCACAAGGGGUAUUGGCCAUUGCUCACUCUCCCUUUCUAAACACGUGCGCUCUUUAGAUUCCCGCAGACAGCCUUGCAAUCAGAAAUGGUGUGUUUCCAAGCACCUUGCCUCCAUGGCGGCCGGAGCCCACUUGUAUGAUAAUGUGUGAUCAGCAGCCUGCUUGCUGUGAUUUUUGUUGGGCAGUUAUCUUCCACAGAGCCAUAUACUGUAGUCGUUCAGGGAACACUCAAACUGACAUAAAGGUAGGAUUUCGUGUGUCAGAAAUUCACUGGAAAGACGAAACUUAAACUUGACCAAUGUCAAAUCAGGGACAGAAAAAUGAAAAGAAGGCAGAUUGUGAAGAUAAUAUUUGAGCUUUGGUUGGACGCUUUUAGCAUAUGACUAGGAAAUGCUUUUUUAAAAAACCAUCCUAAAAAGUAAGGCGUCUCCAGAUACCUUGUGCAUUCUGAAAUUAAUAGACAAUUAAAUGUUUCUUAAGAAAGCCUUAACUAUGGCAGGAACUUUUUAACCUUUUAUAGCCUAAUAAAGAAAAAGUUGUAAUUCCAUUUCUUAGUGUUUGAAAGGUGUCAGUGAGCCGGGUACGUCUCCAUGUAUGUCACACCCGUUAAGCUGAUUUGAUGAGGGUAUAUUUCAUAAGUCAUGCUCCCUUUACAUGCCAAGGAGCGGAUCUAAUCAAUCUCUCCCGAUUUCUCUAUGUCUGAAAUUCCUCAGCUGCCAGAUAUUCUGGUUUAAAGAAAUGCUAGCAAGAUUUCAAAACUUAGUGUUGUGUGUGUGGGGACACAGCAGCAUCUCAUGAAGAUACCAUGUGGGAUUUCAGUGUUGCCCAAGCUGUUUUUUAAUCAUUUUAAAUUAUAAGCCAUGGUUAUGAGUGAAGGGCAGUAGGAAGCUCCGGAUUGUAUACCCUGUAAGACCAAAUCUGCUCAUGGUGUGACCAGUUUUACACAUCUGCCAGUGGGUCCUGCCUCCUUUGAAAUAAUAGUCACACCGCAUGGAUGAUUGCAUUUGGACUCCCUUCAUUCACAUUUUCUAUUCUGCUUUACACUUUCACACCCACCCUACUACUCAUCUUCUCAAACAGAUUUCUAAUGCUCCACAAUUCAGAUUGUUUUGCUACUUUUUGUCUGUCUCCCCAUUUCUGCAGGCUGCCCUGAAAGCCCUUUGUUGAUUCAGAGUGUUUGCAAAGAAAUGCAGUUAAACUCUGGUAGUGGGUGUCUCACGCACACUCCCAUACCCCUCCCCAAGGUUCAGGAUGAGAAGCUAGAAAACACAAUAGUACAAACGGAACCAAAAUAUUUGAGGCUAAUAGCCUAGACCUAGAAGAUGACCUUGACCCUAUAACCAUUGUAUUCAUUACACAAAAUAUUUAAACUCUUCAUGUGCAUAUAAUACCUGCUUCUGCUUCCAUUGUUUCAAGCUCACUGGUCUUUGUGGUAGUUGUAUUUGUCUUUGAUAGCUACAAACUAAAAAGGUACUUUUAUCAACAAGGUCUCUCAAAAACAUUUACCAAACCAGCUUUGAGGAAAUCUAGAAUGUUUCCUGGCAACAGCAUUUGGAGUGGUAAUCGUAUUUUCCCAUUGUGAUGUUGGUCUGUGUAAGUAACUGUGUAGUGACUCCAUUAUCAGUGUUGUUUUUAUUUUUAGUCUCUGUGUGACCCACCAGUAGCAGGGGGUUCCAAUCCCCUCUUUGCUUUUAUGCAUUUGUCUGUUUGUAGGAUUGCCAGAUAAAAUAUAAGACACCCAGUUACAUUUGAAUUUUAGGUAAAUAAUUUUUUAGCUUAAGUAGGUUUCAUGCAUUAUUUGGCAUAUAUUUACGGUAAAAAAAAAAAAAGUUAUUAUUUAUCUAAAAUUCAAAUUUAACUGAGCAUCCUGGCCUUUUGCUUUGUUUUGUUUUCCUAAAUCUGGCAACCCUGUCAGUUUGGUCAUGGGAAAUCGCUCACAGCAUGUAAAUCCUUGUAGUCUUCACUGUCUUUCACGUGGAAUGGAAGACCUUUUUUCCCUCGCCCUCUGCUUUCUAAAAGAGGGCAUCGAGGAACUUCACCUGCCUGCAUGGUGGGUUUCUAUUUAAGACAUCUUUAUGAUUAUAUUUAACCUGUAAUUGUGCUUUGGCUAAAUGUCUAACAGUACUUGUAACUGUUUAAUAUUCAAUAAAAACAUUUUUAAAG
rnacentral:lncRNA from 1 species